GACGAACGCUGGCGGCGUGCUUAACACAUGCAAGUCGAACGGAAAGGCCCUGCUCUUGUUGCUUUCUCGAUUGGCGAACGGGUGAGUAACACGUGAGUAACCUCUCCUUGUCUUUCUGAUAACUCUACGAAACUCCGGCUAAUAUCCCAUAUGAUCUCCUGCUGCACGUUGUGCGUUGGAAAGUUUCGGCGGUUGGGGAUGGACUCGCUGCUUAUCAGCUUGUUUGUGGGGUAGUUGCUUACCAAGGCUUUGACGGGUAGCCGGCAUGAGCGGGUGACCGGCCACAUGGGGACUGAGAUACGGACCAGAAUCCAACGGGAGGCAGUAGUGGGGAAUAUUGCGGAACAGCGGGGAGCGUGAUGCAGAGGUGCCGGGUGCGGAAUGACGGCCUUCGGGCUGUAAACAAAUUUCGAAUGUAACGAAGAGUGAGUGACGGUAAUGGGUAAGAAAGCAACGGCUAACUACGUG
rnacentral:rRNA from 1 species